rnacentral:antisense_RNA from 1 species
GACUGACAUUAAUGAUUCAUUUUGAGAACCUGCUCCUACUGCAAGAUAAGCAUUCAUCCCUAACUCUUUCAUUUGCUGUUCGUCGAUAAUACUAGUAGUAAUACGCGCACUGAAAGUAUCUGCUAAUUGACGAGCAUGUAAGGCAAGGUAACUUGCAUUACAUAUAUUAGGCGGCAUAUUACUAAGAUCUUUAGC